AGAGAGAGAAAGAGAGAGAAGGGUUUGUUAGGUUUUUUUAAUUUUUUUGGAAGGAGGAAUGGAGGGCGGAGAUCAAUGGAGGAUGCUAAAAUGCGCUGGGGGUGUACAAGAUAAGACGAUAAUCAACCGGAUAAUGCUCAGAUUCAGGCCGAUUGCUCCAAAACCGGUGACCGGAGACUCAGCUUCCGGUGAGUCGACGUUUGGUAACAAGAACUCGGGUGUUACAAGCAUGAGAGUGAAGAGAAAAUACGUUAGGGUUUGUGAGAAGAAUAAUAGGAGAAGAAGAGCCUUGGAUGAAGCUAAAGACGAUAAGGAUGGAAAUAAGGGUUCCGUAACUCUGCAGUUGAUGCCUGAGAGAGCUGAUCUAGAGAAAUCAGCGGUUGUUGAUAGCUCAGGGGCGGGUGAUCAUGAUCUCGAUCGGACGGUUGGUGAUGAUUAUCAUCAAUCUCAUGAGGACCCGCCGCCGCUGUGCUUGAAGUUGCAGAAAAUGGUUGCAACAGAUCAAGAAGUGGCGGCGGCGGUGACGGGGUUGUCGGAUCAGGCGACGGGAAGGAAAGUGAGUGUUGUGGAGUCAUGGGUGACGGUGGAGAGCAUAACAGACAGCUGCAUGGAUGAAGGAGACAUGGGGAGCUGUACGGACGUGGAUAGAAUGAGUAAUCUGGAUAAGGACACGUAUCCAGGGUUCAUAUCGGACGGUUGGCACCGUGUUUUGUGGGUGAACGAGGCGUUCAAGAGCAUGGUGGGCGGAGAAGGGGCUGAAACCGCGUUGGGGUUGGUGGUGAAAGAAGGGUUUAAAUUCCCACAGGGUGCAUUCUCAUGCCGGGUAGGGUUACGGUACGGAGAUGGAAAGGGAAAGAAAAAGCAAUCGAAAAUGGUUCCUUGCGAUGUGUGGAAGAUGAGCUUUGGUGGAUUUGCAUGGAGGCUCGAUGUUAAGGCUGCUCUCGGUUUGGGACUCUAACAAUGGGAACCCAACCCAUUCCCGUAGUUUUUGCAGGUGGGAAGCGACAAGAAGGGAAGCGAAGCUUUGAUUCUAUUCUGAAGGUGGUUUAAACGGCGUCAGAGAGAUGAACGGUGAAGAGAAGCGGAGCAAGGUUAGCUACAGAGGUGGUGCACCAGAUAAGACGGUGAUAAACCCGAUAAUGUUAAGAUUCCGGCCGAUAGCCCCUAAACCGGUUUCCGGUGAGCCAGGUUCUGAUGGGGUUCGGUUCGAUAACAAAAAUAUGUUGCUUUGUAAUCCAAGAGCUAAAAGAAAGUACGUUAGGGUUCGAAAGAAAAAUAUGAGAAGAAAGAAAAGAUCAUCGUCAGAUCAACUUCAUCAUGAUGAAGCUUCAAACAAUCCUCAAACGAUUGUUACUUUGCAGUUAUUGCCUGAGAAAACUGAAGGGAACGGAUCGAUUAACAAUCAAAACGGUAGAGUUCUGGGGGAAAAUCAAGAUCCACUUUAUUUAUGUAACUUGAACUUCAAUAACUGUUGGGUUGAUCGUUUGGGAGUUGUGGAAGAACCUAAUCGGACGGUUCUGAUGAGUCAAACGAGGAAAGCAACGGUGGUGGAGUCGUGGGUGACGGUGGAGAGCGUGACGGACAGUUGCAUGGAAGUGAGACAGCUGGGGAGUACGGACGUGGAGAUGAUAAAGAAUCUGGAGAUUGACACGUGUCCAGGGUUUAUAUCAGAUGGUUUGAAUAGGGUUCAGUGGGUUAAUGGAGCUUACAAGAGGAUGUUGAUGGUAGUAGGGGAAGCAAAUGACGGCCGGCCGCCACCGGAGAUAAUGGUCUGGCUUGUGUUCAAACAAGAAUUGCCUAGGUUUUGCACUGCAUUUUCAUGCAAGGUAAGGUUGCAGUAUACAUGGCAGAAGGAGAAGUUCUCGAGGAUGUUGCCAUGUGAUGUCUGGAAAAUGGAUGGCAGUGGUGGUGUUGGUUGUUUAGCGUGGCGGCUAGACGUCGAGGCUGCUCUCAGUCUCGGCCGGUGAGGGAAAUGAGGAUUCAAAGGAGUAAAUAAGGGGGGAAAUGAAGCAAAUUAAUAGAAUAAUCAGGUUUCUUAAUUGAGGGCCUUUCGACGUCAAAGGAUCUAAAAACAAAGAAGGGAACUUGGCAAGUGUAUAUAUUUAUAUUCAACUAUAUAGAUAUAUGCAUGGUAAGUGUUGAAGCUACGAGAUUAUAAAGGGGUCUUACUGAAUAAUUUUCAAUGGCUAUAUUUGUGGCAAUCAUUCACAUAAAGAUGGAAGGGUUGAGAGAGUUUGAGAUUUUUGGGUCAAAAGCAUCAAUCAAACUUCACCAACAAAGCAAAGGCUUUUUGUGGAUGUAAAUUUGGGUGAAAAUAUUUGAAGAUGUUUUUUUAAAGGCCUAACUUGUGAUUGCUAAACAAGUUUUAAAGUUUGGUCCAUCUGCAACGUGGAUUGAAUAAUUUAAAGCUAUGUAGGGAAAAAGAAAACUAUGUAGUUUAAAGUUUGGUCCAUCUCCAACAUGAAUUGAAUGUUUUCAAGGCUGGUAUGUGA